CCUACGGGAGGCAGCAGUGAGGAAUAUUGGUCAAUGGGCGCUAGCCUGAACCAGCCAAGUAGCGUGAAGGAUGACUGCCCUAUGGGUUGUAAACUUCUUUUAUAUGGGAAUAAAGUGCAGUAUGUAUACUGCUUCGCAUGUACCCUAUGAAUAAGGAUCGGCUAACUCCGUGCCAGCAGCCGCGGUAAUACGGGGGAUGCAAGCGUUAUCCGGAUUUAUUGGGUUUAAAGGGUGCGUAGGCUGUGAGGUAAGUCAGCGGUGAAAUGCCCCCGCUCAACGGGGUGAAGUGCCAUUGAUACUGGCUUGCUGGAAUGCGGAUGGCGUGGGAGGAAUGUGUGGUGUAGCGGUGAAAUGCAUAGAUAUCACACAGAACACCGAUUGCGAAGGCAUCUCACGAAUCCGCGAUUGACGCUGAUGCACGAAAGCGUGGGUAUCAAACAGGAUUAGAUACCCGGGUAGUC
rnacentral:rRNA from 1 species